GGGUUAAACUUGUCGACAAAAUUGACGUCCUCGCGAUGAAAAUCGCGAAUUUUGAAUUUCACGCAUGAAAAAUCAGUAAAUAGCACAAAAAAUCAGAAAAUCUGAUAAUCCUAAAUAACCCAUAAAUAAGAAACUACGCAAAUAAGAAGAAAAGAAUACGCACUCUCGAGUUUUAAGGUUAUACAUUGAUUGGUCCCAAAUUCUUGGCUUUUCAAUCGAGUCGAUUGUGGAUUGGAACUGAACAUAUUUCUUUACUACUUUUUCCUCAAGAUAAAAAUAAAAUUAAAAUGUGGACAACUUUAGAUGUGAAUCUUUAAUGAAAGAAUUAAUUGGAGAACUUACUUUGGUCGAUAUUUAUUUCCUCAAAGACAGUGUCUUUCAAGUACAAACCAACUGCCGGAAUUUCCAGCAUCGAUUCGAUAAUAUCCUUAAAUCCGAGAUGACUUGCCACGACGUAUUUACAUUCCGCAUCAUUCAGCUGAGCCACCAACAUUCGCAUAUUCAUCGUCAUCGACUUGAAAUUGAGGAAAAAUCACCUGAGCAAGAAUUAUUUUGGAUGGUUUCACUUGUGCGACUUUCGACAAUUCUAAGGCACUCGUAUAAUUUUCCUUCUUCAACAACUCAUUGAUACACCUUUCGAUUUCAUAAGUAAAAUUUGGUUCGUUGUCAAUAGUGUCGAAAGACAAGAAAUUAAACUUAAUGUCAGUCUUCAUGAGGAUUUUGAUGAUUUCUAAUAUUGAAUUAAAAUCUGGACCAUUAACUACAAAAAUAGAUAUAAUUUUUAUGAUAAAUCGAGGCAUAAAGAUACAGAGACCCUUGUUAAGAGUGUCGACGAAUCCACGGGAAACCAAAUCGUCGAAAAGUUGCAAAACUUUACUAGCCGACCAAACAUGAUCCUCGAGAGAAUCUUUCCGAUUUAAAAAGAAAUCUGUGAUUCCCGCAGAAAACACAAGCCACAAGUAACAAUGAGUCGCGGCCGAAGAAGGCUGAUAAA